CGACACUCAGACGUCAGCACUCAGAAUUAAGAGACGGACUGUGAAGACAUGCGGUUCAAACGUUUGGCACCCAGAGGAUGAAUCCUGCUGAGUUUGACAAAUAUCUGACUGCUCAUCUCGUCCCAGUCGGAUGAAGUUUCGCAGUCCACAAAACAUUUUUGGAGCUUCACAGGAAACGAAGCCGUCACGGAUCCUUUGAGAUAAUCUUUAAAGUAGUUUCUGUUUGGUUUGUCUUUGCCGGUCGACCCCUGAGCUCUUCAGAUUGUGUUAAACGUCAAUAAAGAAGGAAUCUAAUCUCCGUCUGCUGCCGUCCCGCUGGACAUCUGUCUGCAUGGCUCAGAAUCUAAAAAACAUGGAGUCUGUUUGUCUCAGAGACGGACAAGUGGUCGCUCAGGAUCGGAUCACUGAGGACAGAUGUCAGAACCAGGUGCAGCUGGUAGCCAAUCAGCAUCAGCCGGCGGGUGAUGGAGUCGGCGGCCAGGUGGAGGCUGGUCCCCAUGACAACAGUGAUGACGCCGAGGCGGACGGCGGUGCGGGGCAGCG